UUCCCUCUCUUUCCCUCUCUCUCUCUCUCUCUCUCUCUCUCUCUCUCUCUCUCUCUCUCUCUCUCUCUCUCUCUCUCUCUCUCUCUCUCUCUCUCUCUCUCUCUCUCUCUCUCUCUCUCUCUCAAUACCCAAGAUUACGCUCCAGAAAUUGAAGGUUUCCGAAAGCGUCCAUAAGUGAGUGGUCAGAACUGUUUCACCAGCCUAUGCUUAUCCAUCGUGCAUCUUGGGAAGGGUGGAGGUAGCUCCUCUACGGGAGACUGGACGUUCCAGAAGUAAAACUAAUGAGGAUUUUUUUUUACAAAUAUAAAUAAUAGUUGAUAUUUUUUAGGAAUAUAUUAUUCAAUCAAUCUUAUCCUGUAUUUUACUGAAAAAAUGGUUAUGUAAAACUGUAAAUAAUAAAGAAUUUUAUUUACAAAUUUAACGAUUAUUUAAUAAUAACAAUGACAAAGGAAUUUUGUAUAAUUUUUCAGCAAUUUAUUUUGUAAUUACAUACUGAUAAAUGUUAUACAGACAAGGCGCCUGAGAGACCCAAUAAUACCCAGAGUCUUGUUACAGUUGAAACGCCACAGUGCGCCGUUUGGAUUCUACAGCUGAAGGCUUUUACAAACCUUGAAUUUCCGGGUGAUAGGGAGAGCACGUUCAAAACCUUCCAACACAGAGUGAACCCAACACACACAAACCUCUCUAGCUACCACUCUAUUUUUGUACCCCCUCGCCUUAACAUGUGUUGGAAAACGGAAGAAAUAUAUAGAAUAUAAUGUGUUAAUAAUAAUAAAAUCUUAAGCUUGUAUUUCAAACUUUUUUGUUUAUAUAUAUAUAUAUAUAUAUAUAUAUAUAUAUAUAUAUAUAUAUAUAUAUAUAUAUAUAUAUAUAAUCUCAGGAGCACGAUUGACUCAGCUGCUUUAAAAGAGGACAACCCGUGUUCUGAACGUUGCUACUUCGGCUUGUAAAGAAUCGGAGGGUUUUAAAGAGAUUUUCUAUCCGGUUUAAAUUGAGAGUUUUGUGAUCGGGUCCAAUUCCGGGCUGUAGGAAAUUUGAGAGAAAACGAAUUUCUGGUUUAUAUAGCGAGAGAGAGAGAAUGCAUGUCAUAGGCUGUGGUGACUACGGAUAUAGGCUUUCAAAGGGAAUUUCCUGUCUAUCAGAGGGGAAGGUUUGUGUUAUGAAAUGCGUUCAUUGAGAUAGACUGCGGACCUCAGCCAUAUCGGGAAAUAUUUUGAGCUGUGUAGAAUAUAAUUUCUACGGAAUUGACAAGAGGUUUGUGAUAUAGGAAGCGCUACGUAGAAGCUUGAUAAGCGUGUUAUGUAUGUCGAAGGGAGAUUGUUAAAACAAGGACCCAACAGUCAUUAUAGACCCCGUGUGUGUGUGUAAACAUCAAGCGAGCUGUUAAAUCCCUUUGUGUAAUCAUCAAGGGAUUUGUUAAUCCCUAAACAUUACAGAUAUUUAAAAAGUAUUACAACAUGGUGUACAUGUUUUAACAAUUUAAAUUUUAAAAAUAUUUAUAUAACAAAAACACAUACCGCUAUUGAAAUAGUUUAAGGAUUCAAACCCGUACAGUAGAGAACCUUUUCAAAACCUUUCAUUCUUGAAGUCCCAACGCCAGGCGCCACGUUGAGCUGUUCGAAGUGCUCUCUGACUGCCGGGAUUGAUCAAGCAGUUACGUGUACCAUUCCUCUUGCCUUCAAUCAUUGGCGGCUUAGUCUACCUUCAUUCAACAGUUUCCGAGCACCGAGAUGCUAUAAUAUUACGAUGUCAACAACAGCAAUAACCUCAGGUUGUGUACGACCUCGUAGCGUCUCGCAGGUCGUAGACUGUAUUAAGUGAAUAGCAAUUAAGACGCCAUUAUCGAGCCAAGAGGCACAAGUCUCUUUACUGGACACUUGAGUACUGGGUGAGUCCCGGCCAAUAUUCUUGUUACUCAUUGAGGUAUUAGUUGCGUGUUACGUGAGUGAGUCAUUGAUGUUUCCUCCCUGCACCCACCUCACAGUGAAUACAUAAACACAAAUUUGUGUAUUUUGCACAUUUAUUUAGGAUAAAAUAAAUGGUGAAUAAGUACGAGUUUAAUAGCCACGUUGGUUGACAUUCCAAGAGAGUUUAUUCAGUGACCCUUUGUCAGGAUUCCUCCAGCUCUGCGGUGGUGUGAGAGACGCACACACAAUGCUUUACUGAUUUGAAAGGUAUUAAUAACAACUCUAAAACUAGAGUAACAUUGCUAAUAACAGCAGCAGCAUCAACACUAAACACCAUUACUAAUGUUUCUAUUAAUUAUAUUGAUUUGAAUUUACUAGUUUCUUAGUCACGGCUUGCUGAAGAAGCUUUAAAAGUCAAGCGCUGGAGAUUCAACAAUUUUUAAAGAAAUUUUGUACAAAAUGGCGAGAAAUUGUCAAUAAAGAGGGGAAAAUCUAGUGUCGUAUGCUCACAGCACCGAAGAAAUUACCCUUUUCCUUUAAACACACACACACACAUAUAUAUAUAAUUUGUACAAGGCAUUAGAGUUAUUAUAAAUUGUGAAUUGUAGCCUAGUUACAAGAUCCUUCAAAAUAGAUUUUUCCGAAAUUUUAAUUUUCCACCAAACGUUUAGUUAAUGGUAAGUUUCAUAGGAGGUCAUUAUUUCUGCUUUUGUUCACCGACAUGAUAAGGAUUUCUAAAAUAUCUUUAUUCUUGACAAACAUCGCUUUUAUGCUCCUUGUCGGGAUAUACCAAGAGCUCAUUCUCAGUUCUUUGAUCGCGUUGAAAUGAGUUCAAAUCUACGCAUUAAGAAAGCACACGCCAAUUUAUGUUAGUUAACAUGUAAGCUGUUCAGCCCCGUUUAAAUUGGUUCGGUGUGCACCACUGCAUCCCAUUUCAUUCUGAACAUCGAUAUUCAUCUCUCCGUAUACCAUUGUUCAUCUGUUAUCUCUUUGGUGUUCAGAUUUGAUCAAAAUCACCCCCCGGUUAUAAACUAAAAGAUUUAUGUUCACUUUUAUAUACAACUGUACAGUGAAGUUGAUUCUGUCUAUCUUUAAAUGUCGGUCGGCUAUAUACAUAUUUUUUAUAUACUAAAGUGUAAUUUUGUUUUUACUUUGAAGUUUAAAACGAUUUUAACUGAGAAUAUAUAUAUAUAUAUAUAUAUAUAUAUAUAUAUAUAUAUAUAUAUAUAUAUAUAUAUAUAUAUAUAUAUAUAUAUGGUGCUUUUUUCAGUGUACAAAAUCCUUGGGCCUAUUUAGCAUUAUUUCGCCUUGCUUUCUUUUGUUAGGCUUUUAUUUUUAUUGUUACUUAGUUUCUACCUUGUUUAUUUCCCCUCAAUUAUUUGUGGAUCUUUUAUGGCUUAUUCUCUUCUAUGUUGAUUUCUUAUAGACCGUUUGAUCGCUCAGACUUUAGUUAAUAGUCUAAAUCGUCAUAUAUGCCUUUCUAGUGCUCCUUGAGGUGUUCCUCGAGGUGCUCCUUAGGAUACUUCUGCAGGUCCUCCUCGAGGUGCGCAUGCAUGUGUUCCUUGAGGUGCUCCUUGAGCUGUUCCUCAAGUGCUUCAGCAGGUGUUCUUGGAAUGUUCCUUGAGGUGCUGCUGCAGAUGUGCUUUGAGGUGUUCCUGGAGGUGCUCCUUGAGGCGCUCCUUGAGAAGCUCCUUAAGGGUAUUCCUUCACCUGGCGCAAGGCGUUUCAAUACCUACUACCAUCACCGUUUCAAUCCUUCCCCUCAAAUUCUGUUGAUUUCCUUCUAUUUUUCAACCUGUUUUUUGGGGUUUUGAAUGUUUAUAUAUAGUAUUUUAUGGAAGCUGUAAUGAUCAGAAUGUUAUUCUUUGUCUUGUCUUUUCUUAUGCAUUUAAAUACAAGAAUAUAAAACCUUUAAAGCAGCUUGUUGACCCUAAUUACCAUACUCUAUUGUAGACUCGUUAACCCAGAGUAGACGUGUAGAUGGUUGUGUUCACCACUAAAAAAAAAAAAUAAUUUAAAUUGACCCUUAAAAACAAAUAAGAAGAGACUAUUUGUUGUAUUACCUUAAAUGUACACUACUCACAGCCUUGACCCUUGACCUGUCUCAGUCAUGUUCUGGGUCACGUGACCUUAUUGUUUGUAAACAGUGUCAUUAUUACGGCGCCUGAGGGUCAAAGUCGUUGAGUAUGAUACAAACAGAUUUAAAAAGAUAUUGUAUAUUUGUUUGCUUUUUUCCUGUUUGACUUAUAUAAUAAUUGAACCUGUAUAUCAAAGUGUUUCAAUAAACUCUUCGAUGUAAACAGUA